UUUUGGACUCCUCGUCAAUGUUGACUUUGCCCUUUUCAGCGCAGCUCAAGCGGUCAUUGCCAGUCGCAGUAUAACGCAGUUGUCCUUUUCACGCCGAGUGCCCAAGCUGUGGCGUGGUCCUCAAUGAUGAAUCGCUGCUGCCCUCUCAUCUUUCUCCCGUCGAUCGCUUCUACUAUCGCUUUCUACCGAGCGGAGUCCCUCUCCGGUCAGAAUGCCCUGCAGACAUCAUAAAGCUUCAAUGACGAGUUGGAACAAGCUGAUGCGGAAUAAAUACGACACUUCAGUGACACUGCGGACGAUUUCAACAGCUCCAAAGCCGACAAACAACUGUUGAAGAAAACAGCUGUAGAGGAUGACAGACAAGCCGAGGCCUCGCAUGACUUUAUCCGAAACAAGCAAUAAUCCACAUAUCCUGCCUCGCUCUGAUAUUUUCCACCAGGGUCAGCGGAGAGGAAGCGAGAUGAGCAGGAUUGGAGGAUUAGUGUUGAUCCAUGCAAAUUAAAAGAUCAUAGAGGCAACCUCACAAGGCUGUGUGAGUAGGAUGCCCUUUGCGUGAAUCUGCAUGUGUUUUUGUGUCUGCGAGUGAGAGAGCUUGUAACCACCCCCCAGCACUUCAAUCUGCCUGUGCCGAAUGCAGCUGUGUGAACAUUUAGCUUCCAUUAAUCUCCCUGGGCUGAACAAAGUGAGGAAUAGUCCGUCGACUGGAUCACAAAUGCGAACAAAUGAAACACAUCGUUACCUUGAAGAAAAUGAUGGACUUUCUUUAGGAUCUUCGGUAUCAUGCAAACAAUUGUUGAAACAACGUCUUGAACUGUGGUCACUGGCUUGGCAGCCUUCUCUCCUGCAACUCAACCACCGUCCCCUCCACAUCCCAGGAUGAAAGUCAGGUCUUAAACAUGUGAACAUGUAGAAAUGUCAGUAAGGUACAUAGCCCAUGACACAUUAAGAUGUGAACAUACCCGAAACGCUAACUGCCAACAUUGUAUACUUGCGACUGGGCCUUUUUUUAAUUUUUAAUUUUUUUUUUAUCCAUCAUCAAGCAGAACGGCAGUUUUGAUUAUUUUGUGCUGCACUAAUCCAUAUUUUUCACAUUAUAAUGUUCAUUGUGGAAGUCCAAGCAUUUGAACAGAUUUCACAAAAUAUAUAGAACUAGUGCACUUUCUUGGUGAUGGUAUCCAGAUUUUGUUACCUUUGGACGGAGCUACGCGAGCUGUUUCCACCUGUUUCCUGUCUUUUUUGCUACGCUAAGCUAACCGGCUGCUGAAUGUAGCUUAAAAGCUACAUCAGAGAAGUGUGACUGCUGCGAAUCGUCUCGUCCAACAUGCCUCAAGAAAGCAAACAAAUUAUUCCUUCAAUAUGGACGUGACGCUGCCGUGAUGUUUCGAAAAAUGGCGUUUUGUUACAGCUGAGACAGGAGACGAUACACAAUGUCCUCGUGUAACACUCCCGAGACUAACUGUAUCUAAUUGUAUGUGUGUGUGCGUGUGUCUUUGAAGUCAGCCCGUGACUGUUCAAAGGAACUAGCGAGGCGC